GACGAACGCUGGCGGCGUGCUUAACACAUGCAAGUCGAACGGAAAGGCCCUGCUUUUGUGGGGUGCUCGAGCGGCGAACGGGUGAGUAACACGUGAGUAACCUGCCCUUGACUUUGGGAUAACUUCAGGAAACUGGGGCUAAUACCGGAUAGGAGCUCCUGCUGCAUGGUGGGGGUUGGAAAGUUUCGGCGGUUGGGGAUGGACUCGCGGCUUAUCAGCUUGUUGGUGGGGUAGUGGCUUACCAAGGCUUUGACGGGUAGCCGGCCUGAGAGGGUGACCGGCCACAUUGGGACUGAGAUACGGCCCAGACUCCUACGGGAGGCAGCAGUGGGGAAUAUUGCACAAUGGGCGGAAGCCUGAUGCAGCAACGCCGCGUGCGGGAUGACGGCCUUCGGGUUAUAAACCGCUUUCGCCUGUGACGAAGCGUGAGUGACGGUAAUGGGUAAAGAAGCACCGGCUAACUACGUG
rnacentral:rRNA from 1 species